GAUGAACGCUGGCGGCGUGCCUAAUACAUGCAAGUCGAGCGAACGGACGAGAAGCUUGCUUCUCUGAUGUUAGCGGCGGACGGGUGAGUAACACGUGGAUAACCUACCUAUAAGACUGGGAUAACUUCGGGAAACCGGAGCUAAUACCGGAUAAUAUUUUGCACCGCAUGGUUCAAAAGUGAAAGACGGUCUUGCUGUCACUUAUAGAUGGAUCCGCGCUGCAUUAGCUAGUUGGUAAGGUAACGGCUUACCAAGGCAACGAUGCAUAGCCGACCUGAGAGGGUGAUCGGCCACACGGGAACGGAGACACGGUCCAGACUCCUGCGGGAGGCAGCAGUAGGGAAUCUUCCGCAGUGGGCGAAAGCCUGACGGAGCAGGGCCGCGUGAGUGAUGAAAGUCUUCGGAGCGUAAAACUCUGCUAUUAGGGAAGAACAGAUGUGUAAGUAACUGUGCACAUCUUGACGGUACCUAAUCAGAAAGCCACGGCUAACUACGUG
rnacentral:rRNA from 1 species